rnacentral:rRNA from 1 species
CCUUCGGGAGGCAGCAGUGGGGAAUAUUGGGCAAUGGGCGCAAGCCUGACCCAGCAACGCCGCGUGAAGGAAGAAGGCUUUCGGGUUGUAAACUUCUUUUCUGAGGGACGAAGAAAGUGACGGUACCUCAGGAAUAAGCCACGGCUAACUACGUGCCAGCAGCCGCGGUAAUACGUAGGUGGCAAGCGUUAUCCGGAUUUAUUGGGUGUAAAGGGCGUGUAGGCGGGAAAGCAAGUCAGAUGUGAAAACUCAGGGCCCAACCCUGAGCCUGCAUUUGAAACUGUUUUUCUUGAGUGCUGGAGAGUCAAUGGGAAUACGGUGUGUAGGGGUGAAAUGCGUAGAUAUACGGAGGAAAACCAGUGGCGAGGGCGGAUUGCUGGACAGUAACUGACGCUGAGGCGCGAAAGCGUGGGGAGCAAACAGGAUUAGAUACCCCAGUAGUC